rnacentral:rRNA from 1 species
CCUACGGGAGGCAGCAGUGGGGAAUAUUGGUCAAUGGACGAGAGUCUGAACCAGCAACGUCGCGUGAAGGAUGACUGCCCUAUGGGUGUUAAACUUCUUUUAUAGGGAAGUAAAAUGUUCCACGUGUGGGCUUUUGUAUGUACCAUAUGAAUAUGGAUCGACUAACUCCAUGCCAGCAGCCGCGGUAAUACGAAGGGUCCGAGGGUUGUCCGGAUUUAUUGGGUUUAAAGGGAACGUAGGUGGUUUGUUAAGUCAGUUGUGAAGGCUUGCGGCUCAACCGUAAAAUUGCAUUUGAAACUGGUAGUCUGGAGUACAGUAGAGGUGGGCGGAAUUCGUGGUGUAGCGGUGAAAUGCGUAGAUAUUAGGAAGAACUCCGAUGGCGAAGGCAGUUCACUGGACUGCAACUGACACUGAGGCUCGAAAGUGUGGGUAUCAAACAGGAUUAGAUACCCUUGUAGUC